rnacentral:rRNA from 1 species
GUGUCAGCAGCCGCGGUAAAACGUAGGAGACGAACGUUAUCCGGAGUUACUGGGCGUAAAGGGCGUGCAGGCGGCUUGAUAAGUUCGGCGUGAAAUUUCCCGGCUUAACCGGGGGAUGUCGUCGGAGACUGUCGAGCUAGAGGGUGAUAGAGGCGUGUGGAAUUCCGGGUGUAGUGGUGAAAUGCGUAGAGAUCCGGAGGAACACCAGUGGCGAAGGCGACACGCUGGGUCAUACCUGACGCUAAAACGCGACAGCAUGGGGAGCGAACGGGAUUAGAAACCCGUGUAGUCC